AAGUCGUAACAAGGUUAACUUCACCCGGAAGCCUUGGAAUACCCAGUCCACACAUUACCUGUGGGCUACACCAGUCUGUUGCUUGGCCCUCUCUACCCCCUGUGGUGGAAAUCACCAGCAGCCGCUAAUUUUAGUGGUUCACAGAUCAAACACUGGUGGUCGCUAUUCGAUUAUAAUAUGACCGGUCCCCCUCUAUAAGGAGAUGGACAUUACGUUCCGUAGGUGAACCUGCGGAAGGAUCAUUACCGAGUUAGGGUCUUUCAGGCCCGACCUCCAACCCUAUGUUUAAAUUACCAUGUUGCUUUGGCGGGCCCGCCUCCAGGGGCCGCCGGGGGGCUUUUAUCGCCUCUGGCCAGUUGCCCGUCAGUAGCCUUCUUAAAUUCUUUACACAGUGUCGUCUGAGUAUAUAUCUAAAUCGUUAAAA
rnacentral:misc_RNA from 1 species